AACCCAGCUCAGGAUGAACGCUGGCGGCGUGCUUAACACAUGCAAGUCGAACGGACGCUUGGGGAAACUUGAGCGUUAGUGGCAAACGGGUGCGUAACACGUGGGUGACCUACCUCAGAGUGGGGUACAAUGGAUCGAAAGGUUCGCUAAUACCGCAUGUGCUCGACGAUUCAGUUUGUCGAGUAAAGCCGUAAGGCGCUUUGAGAGGGGCCUGCGUCCCAUCAGGUAGUUGGUGAGGUAAUAGCCCACCAAGCCUAUGACGGGUAGCUGUUCUGAGAGGAAGAUCAGCCACACUGGCACUGAGAUACGGGCCAGACUCCUACGGGAGGCAGCAGUGAGGAAUAUUGCGCAAUGGGGGAAACCCUGACGCAGCGACGCCGCGUGGGUGACGAAGGCCUUCGGGUCGUAAAACCCUUUUGGCAGGGAAGAGUGAGGACGGUACCUGUCGAAUAAUCUCGGCA
rnacentral:rRNA from 1 species